rnacentral:lncRNA from 1 species
ACCCACAAAGCCUGAGGAGAAAAGGGGCCUGGGAGCAGCUCUUUCUGCCUUGUCUUCUCUCGUGCCCACAGACAGCUAUAGCAACAGUUUUCACAGCGAUAUGGUUGUGCUUCAGGUGUAUGUGACUCAUCACAGGGGAAUUCUGUUGCUGGAUCAAUCCUUGACUUAGAAGCAGUGUUUUUGCUAUGCAUGCAUGCCUGCCAGGCAACAUUCACGCUGAUGGAAGGGCUCCACGCAGGUGGUACCUAUCUGCAUUUUUAUGCAAGCUGACAAUUAUUCCCAUUUCCAGCUGCUGAGUUACAAAUGACACACCUGGGAGCUGGGGUUAAGGUGUUCUGUGGAGCCUGUUGCCUUGGGAGCUGAUGGGAACCUGCACUGCUGGGCAAGGAGGAACAAAGCCACCAGGUCACCUGUCUGCCUGGGGAUGAUGCUAAAGAGGCUGACUUCCGCUGAGAGUCUGAGCAGAUUUCCAGGCACUGAGCAAAUUCCUCCCUGUGAGCUACAGCUGCCUGAGACAAGCCUCACUGCUGAUGCUUCCUCGCCAUGCUGCUGGACAACAACUUUGUUACCAAAACUCAGCCCAUUUUGAAAGUUGUCCACAGCACUAGGAAACCUUGAGGCACAGAGAGCUGAAUACCUGGGCUGCAGGUUGGUGUUUGAAAAUGAGAUGCCUGUUCCCAUCAGAGUAAAACUGAAGGCACGGUGUUACUCUCUGUCACAACGCCUAGGCUGAUCAUAGAAUCACUGAAUCAUUAAGGUUGGAAAAAACCUCUAAGAUCACCUAGUCCAACCGUCAACCCAUCGCUGCUGUACCCUGCAACCCCAUCUCUCAGUGCCACAUCUCCAGGGUUCUUGAACACCCCCAGGGAUGGUGACUCCACCACCUCCCUGGGCAGCCUGUGCCACUGCCUCACCACUUUUUCUGAGAAGAAGUUUUUCCUAAUAGCCAACCUCAACCUCCCCUGGUGAAACUUGAAGCUAUUACCCCUCAUCCUAUCACUGUUACCUGGGAGAAGAGGCCGACCCCCACCUUGCUAUAACCUCCUUUCAGGCAGUUGUAGAGAGCACUAAGAUCUUCUCUGAGCCUCCUCUUCUCUAGACUAAACAAUCCCAGUUCUCUUAGCUGCUCCUCAUUAACAUUCUUUAGUUAUGAUUAGGGCAGGUUAAACUACUAGCUCUUCAGAUAUUUUGGUAAUACCAUGGAGAAGUUCAGGCUGACCAGCUC